rnacentral:rRNA from 1 species
UACGUAGGGGGCAAGCGUUGUCCGGAAUCAUUGGGCGUAAAGAGCUCGUAGGCGGUUCGUCGCGUCGGCUGUGAAAACCUGAGGCUCAACCUCAGGCCUGCAGUCGAUACGGGCGGACUUGAGUACUGCAGGGGAGACUGGAAUUCCUGGUGUAGCGGUGAAAUGCGCAGAUAUCAGGAGGAACACCGGUGGCGAAGGCGGGUCUCUGGGCAGUAACUGACGCUGAGGAGCGAAAGCGUGGGGAGCGAACAGG